CAUCAGAUUUGUUUACCACCAAAACAAAUAAUCUCUCUCCCUCAUUUUUGCCUGAGGCUGUCCAUUCCCCUCAUUAGCUCCAUUUUCAGAGGCCUCCCCCUUUUAUCUUCCAUCUGAUUUCUCUCAACUUUGAGAAAACACGCCCAGCCCCCCUUCCCCACGAUGUUGUAACUCCACCGUCGGAUUUGACCCCCGGGCCGGUGACCUCCCUCUACAUCACUGACCAUCUUCAUCUCCAUUUGCUUAUAGCUUUUCCGGUGACUGUUAUGGUUCACUCAGAUCUAACUAAAAAUAUAUAGAUCUGGUUGGAAAAAAUGACCUUCACUAGCGACCAUAUCUCGCUCCUUGCUGCCUUCGAGCUUUGGCCGGAAAAAAAUAAAUGCCAGCGACGUAUUUUUGAGAUUCGAGUCGUUCGGGGGCUGAAUCACGAGGCAAUGGCUUGUUGGAGUUAUUAUUUGCACGGUUUGAGAUACAGGUGCAUCUGGACCCGGUGGUUGCAAGACUUGGAGCAUUACCUGCUUGGAGACUAGUGAGGUAGCUGCUAUGGGAUCCGUAGACCUCAACUCUCCUUCUUUUCAGUUUAUUUAGCACUGUUCUAUCUUUCCAGACAAUUAUAUUAGAAGUUUUUGACUAUGUUGACAUUUAAUAGCUCAUGUACUCGGUGAUACCCAUAUUUUGGGGAUUUUGUAGUUGAGUCGCGGUUGUUCCUAUCGGUUAUUUAUGAGAUUUUUACAAUUAAACUUAUUA